rnacentral:rRNA from 1 species
ACGGGGUGCAGCAGGCGCGAAAUCUUCACAAUGUGCGAAAGCACGAUGAGGGGAUCCCAAGUGCUGGCACGUAAGUGUCAGCUGUUUCUUAGUCUAAAAAACUGAGAGAGUAAGGGCUGGGUAAGACGGGUGCCAGCCGCCGCGGUAAUACCUGCAGCUCAAGUGGUGGCCGCUAUUAUUGGGCCUAAAACGUCCGUAACCUGUUUAGUAAAUGCUUGGGUAAAUUGUGUAGCUUAACUAUACGAAUACCGGGUAGACUGCUAAACUUGGGACCGGGAGAGGCUAGAGGUACUCCUGGGGUAGAGGUGAAAUUCUGUAAUCCUAGGGGGACCACCAGUGGCGAAGGCGUCUAGCUAGAACGGGUCUGACGGUGAGGGACGAAGCCCUGGGGCGCAAACCGGAUUAGAUACCCGGGUAGUCCAGGGUGUAAACGCUGCUUGCUUGAUGUUAGUUGGGCUCCGAGCCCAACUAGUGUCGGAGAGAAGUUGUUAAGCAAGCUGCCUGGAAGUACGUCGCAAGAC